rnacentral:rRNA from 1 species
ACUUUCAACAACGGAUCUCUUGGCUUUCGCAUCGAUGAAGAACGCCGCGAAAGUGCGAAACGUAAUGUGAAUUGCAGAAUUCAGUGAAUCAUCGAAUCUUUGAACGCAUCUUGCGCUCCUUGGUAUUCCRRGGAGCAUGCCUGU